rnacentral:rRNA from 1 species
UACGAAGGGGGCUAGCGUUGUUCGGAAUUACUGGGCGUAAAGCGCGCGCAGGCGGUCUUCCAAGUCAGUGGUGAAAGCCCGGAGCUCAACUCCGGAACUGCCAUUGAAACUGUAAGACUUGAGGAUGAGAGAGGUGAGUGGAAUUCCCAGUGUAGAGGUGAAAUUCGUAGAUAUUGGGAAGAACACCGGUGGCGAAGGCGGCUCACUGGCUCAUUUCUGACGCUCAGGCGCGACAGCGUGGGGAUCAAAC